GGAUGUUAGGGCGAUCUGGCUGAGCAUCUAUCGCCCCAUUGAUCUCCAGGAUUGAUUGGGUUGAUCUGGCUGGCUAGGCAGGCGUCCCCUUCCUUUUUUACCACUCCAUGUGCAUCCCUCCUGAAGCUAUGCACUCUGUCAAAGAUGACAGGUGUCCCAGAAUAGAGACAGAAAGGUCUUUGGUUGAGGUUAUAGGAGUAGCUGCGCUCCCCUGCUAGAAGCUCCAAACAAGCUCUUUCCUAUCCAGGUCACCAGUUUUUUCUUUUCUUUUCUCAAAUAAAGGGUGAAGGAAAGACAUGACAAAGGAGAGAGAGAAGGGGUCGGGUAGUGGCUUACAUGGUAGAGCGCAGAUUAUC
ensembl:misc_RNA 7SK 7SK RNA